CACAACUACAUCAUAUAAAGAUAUUUGCACAUACAUAAUUGUAACUGCACAUUAUAUAAUGAUAUGUACACAUGAUAUAAGUAUAUUUGCACAUGAUAUAAGUAUAUUUGAACAUCAUAUAAGGAUAUUUGCACAUAAUAUAAAUACAUUUGCACAUCAUAUAAGAAUGUUUUGCACAUCAUAUAAGUACAUUCGCACAUCAUAUAAGUUCAUUUGUACAUCAUAUAAAUACAUUUGCACAUCAUAUAAAUAUAUAAGCACAUCAUAUAAGUAUAUUUGCACAUCAUAUAAGUAUGUUUGCACAUCAUAUAAUGAUGUUUGUACAUCAUAUAAGGAUGUUUGCACAUCAUGUAAGGAUAUUUGCACAUCAUAUAAAGGUGUUUGCACAUCAUAUAAUGACAAUUGCACAUCAUAUAAAGGUAAAUGCACAUCAUAUACUGAAAAUGGUCAUACCAAGACAGUGUUGGCGUUCCAUAGUUAAUCGUGUAAUGUACAUUCUUAUCGUAUUAAGAAGUAUUUGUAUAUACUGGCUUCGGAUUGUUAUUCAUGAGCGUUCCUAAUAAUGUAAAAUCAAAACAGCGAAAUGGUGCAUUAAAUAAAUAAAGUUAUAAUUUCAUAUUGAAUAUAUCUAUAUUGAAAACGGUAUUAUUAAAUAAUUUCCAGUGUAUAUCACAAAAGACGACACAAAAACAUGACAUGUUUUUAUAAUUGUACCAGGCGCUUUUCAAUAAAAAGGCUAAUUAUUGACAAAUUUCAAUUUUGUGGAUAUAGUCUUCUUUAGAUCGGACAAGGUCUUGACAUAUUGAUAUGCCAUGGUGCAGAAAUGCCUUGCAAACUGUAAGUGUGAGUGAGUGUUGUUAGAUACAAACACGUAUUACUUGCUGUACAACCAAUAAAAGAUGGUUAAUGGAUCACAGAUUUUCAAUCAACAUAGGUAAAGAAUUACGUCAGUCAUAUCAUGUCUUGUUUUAGUAGUAUAACAAAAGGAAAUGCUCAAUAUCUUAUUCAUGUACAAAUCUUUUAAAUUCUAAAUAUCUC
rnacentral:lncRNA from 1 species